rnacentral:rRNA from 1 species
UACGAAGGGGGCUAGCGUUGCUCGGAAUCACUGGGCGUAAAGCGCACGUAGGCGGCUUUUUAAGUCAGGGGUGAAAUCCUGGAGCUCAACUCCAGAACUGCCUUUGAUACUGAGAGCUUGAGUCCGGGAGAGGUGAGUGGAACUGCGAGUGUAGAGGUGAAAUUCGUAGAUAUUCGCAAGAACACCAGUGGCGAAGGCGGCUCACUGGCCCGGUACGUGACGCUGAGGUGCGAAAGCGUGGGGAGCAAACAGG